UACGGAGGGUGCGAGCGUUGUUCGGAAUCAUUGGGCGUAAAGGGCGUGUAGGUGGUCUGUUAAGUCAUGUGUGAAAUCCCCCGGCUCAACCGGGGAAGUGCGCAUGAAACUGACAGGCUAGAGUACCGAAGAGGAAGGUGGAAUUCCAGGUGUAGCGGUGAAAUGCGUAGAUAUCUGGAGGAACACCGGUGGCGAAGGCGGCCUUCUGGUCGGAUACUGACGCUAAAACGCGAAAGCGUGGGGAGCAAACAGG
rnacentral:rRNA from 2 species